UACGAAGGGGGCGAGCGUUGUUCGGAUUUACUGGGCGUAAAGGGCGCGUAGGCGGCGCGAGAAGUCGAGUGUGAAAGCCCCGGGCUCAACCUGGGAACCGCGCUUGAGACUGGCGGGCUAGAGUUCGGGAGAGGAUGGUGGAAUUCCCAGUGUAGAGGUGAAAUUCGUAGAUAUUGGGAAGAACACCGAUGGCGAAGGCAGCCAUCUGGACCGACACUGACGCUGAGGCGCGAAAGCGUGGGGAGCAAACAGG
rnacentral:rRNA from 1 species